UACAGAGGGUGCAAGCGUUACUCGGAAUUACUGGGCGUAAAGCGUGCGUAGACGGUUAUGUAAGUCAGGUGUGAAAGCCCCGGGCUCAACCUGGGAAUUGCAUUUGAGACUGCAUAGCUAGGGUGCGGAAGAGGGAAGCGGAAUUUCCGGUGUAGCGGUGAAAUGCGUAGAUAUCGGAAGGAACACCAGUGGCGAAAGCGGCUUCCUGGUCCAGCACCGACGUUCAGGCACGAAAGCGUGGGGAGCAAACAGG
rnacentral:rRNA from 1 species